rnacentral:rRNA from 1 species
GAGACUGCCGGGGUUAACUCGGAGGAAGGUGGGGAUGACGUCAAAUCAUCAUGCCCCUUAUGUCUAGGGCUGCAAACAUGCUACAAUGGCCGGUACAAAGGGCUGCGAUACCGCGAGGUGGAGCGAAUCCCAAAAAGCCGGUCUCAGUUCGGAUUGGGGUCUGCAACUCGACCCCAUGAAGUCGGAGUCGCUAGUAAUCGCAGAUCAGCAACGCUGCGGUGAAUACGUUCCCGGGCCUUGUACACACCGCCCGUCACACCAUGGGAGUGGGUUGCAAAAGAAGUAGGUAGCUUAACCUUCGGGAGGGCGCUUACCACUUUGUGAUUCAUGACUGGGGUGAAGUCGUAACAAGGUAGCCGUAGGAACCUGCGGCUGGA